rnacentral:snoRNA from 1 species
CCUGCAGUGAUGAGCCAUUAACAUGUAAGAAGAGCCAUUCAUGUGGUUUCUUCAAUGAAAUACUCUUGUUACGCUUGGCUUCUGAGCUUC